AACGCUAGCUACAGGCUUAACACAUGCAAGUCGAGGGGCAGCAUGAUUGAAGCUUGCUUCAAUCGAUGGCGACCGGCGCACGGGUGAGUAACACGUAUCCAACCUGCCGAUAACUCGGGGAUAGCCUUUCGAAAGAAAGAUUAAUACCCGAUAGCAUAGUAUUUCCGCAUGGUUUCACUAUUAAAGAAUUUCGGUUAUCGAUGGGGAUGCGUUCCAUUAGAUAGUUGGCGGGGUAACGGCCCACCAAGUCAACGAUGGAUAGGGGUUCUGAGAGGAAGGUCCCCCACAUUGGAACUGAGACACGGUCCAAACUCCUACGGGAGGCAGCAGUGAGGAAUAUUGGUCAAUGGACGAGAGUCUGAACCAGCCAAGUAGCGUGAAGGAUGACUGCCCUAUGGGUUGUAAACUUCUUUUAUACGGGAAUAAAGUGGAGUAUGCAUACUCCUUUGUAUGUACCGUAUGAAUAAGGAUCGGCUAACUCCGUGCCAGCAGCCGCGGUAAUACGGAGGAUCCGAGCGUUAUCCGGAUUUAUUGGGUUUAAAGGGAGCGUAGGCGGGUGCUUAAGUCAGUUGUGAAAGUUUGCGGCUCAACCGUAAAAUUGCAGUUGAUACUGGGCGCCUUGAGUGCAGCAUAGGUAGGCGGAAUUCNUGGUGUACCGGUGAAAAUGCUUANAUAUCACGAAGAACUCCGAUUG
rnacentral:rRNA from 1 species